CCGCCGGGUGCGCGAGUCGUAGGGUGCACGAAACCCGAAGGCGAAGCGAAAGCAUAGGUCCGAUCCCGUGUCGUGCGGGCGCAGGGCCGUCCUCGCUACGAGGCUUUUGUCCUUUGGCGGGCGAUCUGAGCGCAUCUGGCGGGACCCGAAAGAUGGUGAACUAUGCCUGAGCAGGCCGAAGCCAGGGGAAACUCUGGUGGAGGGCCGCAGCGGUUCUGACGUGCAAAUCGAUCGUCAGACUUGUGUAUAGGGGCGAAAGACUAAUCGAACCAUCUAGUAGNNNN
rnacentral:rRNA from 1 species